AACGGCCGUACCAUGCUGAAUAUACCGGUACUCGUUAGAUCACCGAAGUCAAGCAUCAUUGGGCGCGGUCAGUACUUGGGUGGGUGACCACCUGGGAACACUGCGUGCCGUU
rnacentral:rRNA from 1 species